UCCUUAGAUGUUCUGGGCCGCACGCGCGCUACACUGUUCGACGCAGCGAGUCUUAACCUUGACCGAAAGGUUUGGGUAAUCUUCAGCAAAGUCGAACGUGAUGGGGAUCGAUCAUUGCAAUUAUUGAUCGUGAACGAGGAAUUCCUAGUAAGUGCAAGUCAUCAGCUUGCGCUGAUUACGUCCCUGCCCUUUGUACACACCGCCCGUCGCUACUACCGAUUGAAUGGUUUAGUGAGAUCUCUGGAUUGACGCUGGCUAGGGGGCGACCCUUGGCCAGACUGUUGAGAAACUGCUCAAACUUGAUCAUUUAGAGGAAGUAAAAGUCGUAACA
rnacentral:rRNA from 1 species